rnacentral:rRNA from 1 species
UACGUAGGGGGCAAGCGUUGUCCGGAUUUAUUGGGCGUAAAGCGCACGUAGGCGGCUUUCUAAGUCAGGUGUGAAAUCCUGGAGCUCAACUCCAGAACUGCCUUUGAUACUGGAGAGCUUGAGUCCGGGAGAGGUGAGUGGAACUCCGAGUGUAGAGGUGAAAUUCGUAGAUAUUCGGAAGAACACCAGUGGCGAAGGCGGCUCACUGGCCCGGUACUGACGCUGAUGUGCGAAAGCGUGGGGAGCAAACAGG